GAUGAACGCUGGCGGCGUGCCUAAUACAUGCAAGUCGAGCGAACGGACGAGAAGCUUGCUUCUCUGAUGUUAGUGGCGGACGGGUGAGUAACACGUGGAUAACCUACCUAUAAGACUGGGAUAACUUCGGGAAACCGGAGCUAAUACCGGAUGAUAUUUUGAACCGCAUGGUUCAAAAGUGAAAGACGGUCUUGCUGUCACUUAUAGAUGGAUCCGCGCUGCAUUAGCUAGUUGGUAAGGUAACGGCUUACCAAGGCAACGAUACAUAGCCGACCUGAGAGGGUGAUCGGCCACACUGGAACUGAGACACGGUCCAGACUCCUACGGGAGGCAGCAGUAGGGAAUCGUCCGCAAUGGGCGAAGGCCUGACGGAGCAACGCCGCGUGAGUGAUGAAGGUCUUCGGAUCGUAAAACUCUGUUAUUAGGGAAGAACAUAUGUGUAAGUAACUGUACACAUCUUGACGGUACCUAAUCAGAAAGCCACGGCUAACUACGUG
rnacentral:rRNA from 1 species